UAACUUCAAAUUAAAAAAGCUCCUUCGUCGUUCAAAGAAAGACCCGUAAGCCCUGCCCUAACUCCUCCUUCAAAAGCCCCAACGCGACGACGACACUCCGUUCUUCAUUGUGCCUCGCCCUCACCGCGACGACGACACUCAGACGACAGUUCGUGAAGAACGUCGCUGUGCUGGCAAUGCCUCCGCCGGCAAUCCCUCUUCCCGCACCCCUAACCUCCUUCUGCAGUGACUCUCUCUGGCGGUGACUCUCUCUGCUCACUUGCCGUCGCAAACCCGCCGUGGAUGCUCCCUUUGCCGCCACUCCCUUUCGUGGCUGCAGAUUCCUACCUUCCGCGCCGCUCCCUUCCUACUUCCUGCUUCCUGCUUCUUGCUUCUUUGUUAGUCCUCUUCUUAUUCCUUUCUUUUAUUUCUUUUCCUAUUUCACCUGGUCACUUAGCAAAUCUGAUGGCUACAUUGUGACGAAGCCCGGGACGACGAAGACCAGUGUUGAGGGUGUUUUUGCUGCCGCCGAUGUUCAGGACAAGAAGUAUAGGCUAGCUAUUACUGCCGCUGGCUCCGAAAUCACUAAUUUUCAUCAGUGAAGGCAGAGAAAUCACUAAGUUUUCUUCUAUUGCAUUUUGUGAGGAAAGGCUUUGAAUGUUCAUGCUGCUUCAGACUUUACUAUUGGUGGAUCUAGGGGGCAACUACUUCCCAUGGUUGUUGGCAAUGUCAUGUGCUUUUUAACUUAAUUCAUACUUUUCUUUAAAGCAAUUAAGGUAAUUUUGUUAACCUAUUACCAGAACUGUCACUUUUCAGUUAGUUUUGAUGUUUAUAAAUUAUGUUGAUGUAACAUUAUUUUGUAAAUUGUUGGAUGAUGAUGUCUCUUUUGAA